rnacentral:rRNA from 1 species
GAUGAACGCUGGCGGCGUGCUUAACACAUGCAAGUCGAACGAAGCACUUUAUUUGAUUUCCUUCGGGACUGAUUAUUUUGUGACUGAGUGGCGGACGGGUGAGUAACGCGUGGGUAACCUGCCUUGUACAGGGGGAUAACAGUUGGAAACGGCUGCUAAUACCGCAUAAGCGCACAGCAUCGCAUGAUGCAGUGUGAAAAACUCCGGUGGUAUAAGAUGGACCCGCGUUGGAUUAGCUAGUUGGUGAGGUAACGGCCCACCAAGGCGACGAUCCAUAGCCGACCUGAGAGGGUGACCGGCCACAUUGGGACUGAGACACGGCCCAAACUCCUACGGGAGGCAGCAGUGGGGAAUAUUGCACAAUGGGUGAAAGCCUGAUGCAGCGACGCCGCGUGAGCGAAGAAGUAUUUCGGUAUGUAAAGCUCUAUCAGCAGGGAAGAUAAUGACGGUACCUGACUAAGAAGCACCGGCUAAAUACGUG